rnacentral:lncRNA from 1 species
UGGAACGAAACGACUGAUCAUGUAUAUUGCACUGGGCUGAGCUGUCACAAGAAAAGGCUCUGACAAUCAUAGCGUAAGACCGGUGUGACAGGACGAUGAAAUAAUGAAAGUAUCCUGGCAACCGUAUUUUCCUACCGACUGUGGCCUGCAACACUGUGACGACCGUCAGCUACAUUUUUCUGAAUUCAGGAGGCAACUACAAAACAACUGAUGAGUGCAAAAAUGAAAGAAUCAGAGCUUGCUGAGACACGCUUGCUUGUGAUGAUACAAAUAGUUCUCUCUCAGGACAGAGAGAGGUGUCUGUCGUCUUUACCAUUUCAAGCCAACGCUCAGCAUAGUGUCUGGUACAUCAAAGAAACCCAUUGACUUGGGCUAAUACUACCACUCUACACAUCCUUGAAAUCCACAGGGAACUUCGAUCUCACAGACCCACCUUCCCUCCCCGUCAAGCUUACAUCACAAGGGCUAAGGACACUGACCUCUCCUCUGCAAACACUCCUGGCAUUGUCCUCUUAUUCCUUUGCAGUCUCUGGCAAGACCACUACUGAGAUCAUCCUCACCUUUCUACCACUCUAUGCCUGCACCCAGAUGGCUGAAAGUUGCUGAAGAAAAUCUUGCGGCCACAAGGACUAGUCACACUUUAGUAGAAUGAAUGACAAAAUUCUCAAACAGGCAUGAAAGAUCCUCCCAUAUUCCACGGGAACUAUUUCACAUUUUCUCCUUCCUCAAACUUCUGUGAUAAAACUCAGCUGAUGACUUCACGCUUCCUUAGACAAGAUACAACCAGAUGAGAAUCAUCUCUUCCUGUACCCAGGAAUUUAUUUUUUGUUACUAUUUUGUCCCUUGUGCCUGGUACAUUUUUGAAUAAAUACAUUGAGCUAAGUUAAAUGAAACUCUUGUUAUAAUGGAAAAAAAAAUCCCAGUUUCUAUCCAAAGCCAACCAUCGCUUACGUACAUAAGAACUUCAUUCUUGUAGUUACACCCUCUCUCUCCUACAUCCUCAGUAUUUCCCUCUGAAAUAGGUCAUUCCUAGCAGCAAGACAGAGUACCUCUCAUUCUAAAAGGAAUAAGUAAAUAUUUCCCUUGGCCUCUUGAACUCUUCCAGCCACUGCCCCUCCUCUCUGUUCACCUUCACAGCAAAACUCCUUAAAAGAGUUGUUUAUGUUAAAUGUCUCUAUUUUCACACUUCUAUUCUCCCUUCAGCUGACUCAAAGCUAGCUUCUAUAUCUAUUCUUCCACUGGAAAAAUCAUUAAUUUGUGUCCACCACAACUUCCAUUUGAUUUGGUCAAGCUAAGUACUUGAAAUAAAUUCUAACACAGGCACUGCUAAUACCUGUUCUGCAGAUAAGCAAACUGAGGCUUAAAGAGUUUGCCCAAGGUUGC